GCCCGAUUGGUUCAGUGGUAGAGCGCCUGCUUUGGGUCAACCAAUAAUUUGUAGGAGGUCAGUCAAUCGUUUCCAGCUCGUCGAGCCUAGCUUACAAGGAUUCAGGUCACGUGUUCAAUCCGCGUAUCGGGCC
rnacentral:tRNA from 1 species